CACCGCCCGUCACAUCAUGAAAGCCGCUUGUACCCGAAGUCACCGAUCGAACCCGCAAGGGACGAAGGCGCCGAAGGUGAGCUCGAUGAUUGGGACU
rnacentral:rRNA from 1 species